GACGAACGCUGGCGGCGUGCUUAACACAUGCAAGUCGAACGGAAAGGCCCUGCUUUUGUGGGGUGCUCGAGUGGCGAACGGGUGAGUAAAACGUGAGUAACCUGCCCUUGACUUUGGGAUAACUUCAGGAAACUGGGGCUAAUACCGGAUAGGAGCUCCUGCUGCAUGUUGGGGGUUGGAAAGUUUCGGCGGUUGGGAUGGACUCGCGGCUUAUCAGCUUGUUGGUGGGGUAGUGGCUUACCAAGGCUUUGACGGGUAGCCGACCUGAGAGGGUGACCGGCGACAUUGGGACUGAGAUACGGCCCAGACGCCUACGGGAGGCAGCAGUGGGGAAUAUUGCACAAUGGGCGGAAGUCUGAUGCAGCAGCGCCGCGUGCGGAAUGACGGCCUUCGGGUUGUAAACCGCUUUCGCCUGUGACGAAGCGUGAGUGACGGUAAUGGGUAAAGAAGCAACGGCUAACUACGUG
rnacentral:rRNA from 1 species